rnacentral:rRNA from 1 species
UGGGGAAUUUUGGACAAUGGGGGCAACCCUGAUCCAGCCAUUCCGCGUGAGUGAAGAAGGCCUUCGGGUUGUAAAGCUCUUUCGGCAGGAACGAAACGGUGGGGGCUAAUACCCCCUGCUAAUGACGGUACCUGAAGAAGAAGCACCGGCUAACUACGUGCCAGCAGCCGCGGUAAUACGUAGGGUGCGAGCGUUAAUCGGAAUUACUGGGCGUAAAGCGUGCGCAGGCGGUUCUAUAAGACAGAUGUGAAAUCCCCGGGCUUAACCUGGGAACUGCGUUUGUGACUGUAGGACUCGAGUGUGGCAGAGGGGGGUGGAAUUCCACGUGUAGCAGUGAAAUGCGUAGAGAUGUGGAGGAACACCGAUGGCGAAGGCAGCCCCCUGGGUCAACACUGACGCUCAUGCACGAAAGCGUGGGUAGCAAACAGG